GAGCUCCUGAAAUAAUGAAGUAUUUUCAUACACCAGAUAGACCACUAUGGGAAGAUGAAAAUUCUCGUGUCAUUGAGGAAAUUUUUGGUUCCGAUCCACCAGAAAUGUAGACUUUCAAUUUAUUUGAGGCUGUACGUUAUCUAUUGGAGAAUUUCAAAAUCAUCGAUAAAUAUCGUCAACUCAAAAAUAAAUUUCAAAACACUGAAGCACAAAAGCAGAAAGAAAACGAGGAUACGAUUCCGAAUUCGUUUUGGAAGUACAGGAACAGCAGAGAGAUUCACCACGCUAAUUGUAUGGUAACAUGGAGCAGUUUCAAAAGCUGUGGAAUUCAAUUCAGGUUAAAUGAAAGUUCCUUGACACUUGCAAUGCUACCGUGAUUACUGAAUUUUUCACCAAAGACGAUGUGGAGACAGAGUUCAAACUAUCUCCAGCCUCAUCUGGACUCACAACCAUAGAUUUUUAAAUUUAUUUCUACCAUUUUGAACUGACAACUCCUCAACAAGUAAUCUCGUGAAGAGAUACAUAUUGGAGAAGACCUCAGCAUUCUAUGAUUCACAGAAGAAGAACGCAGAAAACCAGCAUUGCCAGCUGCCAUCCAUUAGUAAUGUAAUGUCCAGAUUAUUUCAAUCACUUCCGCAUCAACAACAAUGCACAAAUCACCCUAUUUCAAAAUCAAUGCCAACCGACAUCGACCUCUAAAGAAUGCACAACGUUGCACUCCUCGGGAACACUUGCAAAACGAAAGACCGCAACCUUGCAAAAUUCGACAACAGAGCCGGGUCGAUGAACCAGGAAACCAAAGAGGCGGAAAUCACACCACCUCCCCCACUCCAAAUAAAUUUCCAUUUUUCCCAAGUAAGGCGAGGCCCCUCCAAAAAAAUCAAACCUCAGUCACGAAAACCCUCUCGCGAAUUAACUACGACUUCUUGGCGGAAGUAUUUUUUGGAAUCGGUCCGGCUCUUGUUAGUGUUCGAACUUAUCUUCGGAAAUUCGGAGUGUUCUCGAAUAGCAGUAGGGAACAUAAAUUAGCAAGUGUUCGGGGAUACAAGUUCCUUUAACCGAAAGUAGAACAGCUUCUUGCUUCUGAGAGAAUUAGUGGUGAACUUGGUGAAUCGUGGGUGUGGCUCAACUUUUAUAAACAAUUAAGACUCAAGACUUAUUCAAUUCUAACUUCAUCAAUUCCGAACAAGUAGAAGACGGGAAUUCCACCUAAGUAUUUGUAAUAGUGUACCAAUCGUUCGCUGGCAGAGAAACGUGGUGGAUUACCUCAAGAAUUCACGAAAUAUAAUUAAGAACCACUCAAAGUGAGUCAUUACCAUUGUUAACAUUCAAGAGAUAGAUCUAGUAAUGAUUGCAGGGUUUCACAGAUAAUCAUU